UCAUCUUCUGCUGUCUGAAUUAUUUCAUUCAGUUCUUCUAUUUCCUUGUUUGUUGUAUAGGCUUCUUUUUCUUUUUUUAUAAUUUCUGCAUGCUUUGAUGAUGUUUCUGCUAAAUCAGACUUUGUAGUAUCCAGUUGCACCCCUUCCUCAAGAAUCAUUUGCUGAGCAGUUCUGAAACUUUUCUUCAACCCUCUUAGUAUACUA
rnacentral:lncRNA from 1 species